rnacentral:rRNA from 1 species
UACGAAGGGUGCAAGCGUUAAUCGGAAUUACUGGGCGUAAAGGGUGCGUAGGCGGUUUGUUAAGUCUGUUGUGAAGUCCCCGGGCUCAACCUGGGAAUGGCAAUGGAUACUGGCAAGCUAGAGUGUGUCAGAGGAUGGUGGAAUUUCCGGUGUAGCGGUGAAAUGCGUAGAGAUCGGAAGGAACAUCAGUGGCGAAGGCGGCCCUCUGGGUCAUCACUGACGCUGAUGCACGAAAGCGUGGGGAGCAACCAGG